rnacentral:rRNA from 1 species
CGGAGGGUGCAAGCGUUGUUCGGAUUUACUGGGCGUAAAGCGUGUCUAGGUGGACUUGUAAGUCAGAUGUGAAAUCCCCCGGCUUAACUGGGGAGGGUCAUUUGAAACUACAAGCCUUGAGUUUCGGGGAGGUGGGUGGAAUUCCCAGUGUAGAGGUGAAAUUCGUAGAGAUUGGGAGGAACAUCGGAGGCGAAAGCGGCUCACUAACCGAACACUGACACUGACACACGAAAGCGUGGGUAGCAAACAGGAUUAGAUACCCUGGUAGUCCACGCCGUAAACGAUGGAUACUAGGUGUUGGAGGAGUUGAUCCCUUCAGUGCCGAAGCUAACGCAUUAAGUAUCCCGCCUGGGAAGUACGGUCGCAAGACUA